AUUGAACGCUGGCGGAAUGCUUUACACAUGCAAGUCGAACGGUAGAGGGGGCAACCCCUUGAGAGUGGCGAACGGGUGAGUAAUGUAUCGGAACGUGCCCAGUCGUGGGGGAUAACGUAGUGAAAAUUACGCUAAUACCGCAUACGAUCUAUGGAUGAAAGCGGGGGAUCGCAGGACCUCGCGCGAUUGGAGCGGCCGAUAUCAGAUUAGGUAGUUGGUGGGGUAAAGGCUCACCAAGCCAACGAUCUGUAGCUGGUUUGAGAGGACGACCAGCCACACUGGAACUGAGACACGGUCCAGACUCCUACGGGAGGCAGCAGUGGGGAAUUUUGGACAAUGGACGAAAGUUUGAUCCAGCCAUUCCGCGUGCAGGACGAAGGCCUUCGGGUUGUAAACUGCUUUUGUACGGAACGAAAAGGCUCUUCUUAAUACGGAGGGCUCAUGACGGUACCGUAAGAAUAAGC
rnacentral:rRNA from 1 species